UACGGAGGGUGCGAGCGUUGUUCGGAAUUAUUGGGCGUAAAGCGCGUGUAGGCGGUUACUUAAGUCUGAUGUGAAAGCCCCGGGCUUAACUUGGGAAGUGCAUUGGAAACUGGGCAACUAGAGUACGAGAGAGGAAAAUGGAAUUCCGGGUGUAGUGGUGAAAUGCGUAGAUAUCCGGAGGAACACCAGUGGCGAAGGCGAUUUUCUGGCUCGAUACUGACGCUGAGGUGCGAAAGCGUGGGGAGCAAACAGG
rnacentral:rRNA from 1 species